rnacentral:rRNA from 1 species
GUGGGGAAUAUUGGACAAUGGGCGCAAGCCUGAUCCAGCAAUGCCGCGUGGGUGAAGAAGGCCUUCGGGUUGUAAAGCCCUUUUGUACGGGAAGAAAUCAUUCGGGUUAAUACCCUGGGCUAAUGACGGUACCGUAAGAAUAAGCACCGGCUAACUACGUGCCAGCAGCCGCGGUAAUACGUAGGGUGCAAGCGUUAAUCGGAAUUACUGGGCGUAAAGCGUGCGCAGGCGGUUUUGUAAGACAGGCGUGAAAUCCCCGGGCUCAACCUGGGAAUUGCGCUUGUGACUGCAAGGCUGGAGUGCGGCAGAGGGGGAUGGAAUUCCGCGUGUAGCAGUGAAAUGCGUAGAUAUGCGGAGGAACACCGAUGGCGAAGGCAAUCCCCUGGGCCUGCACUGACGCUCAUGCACGAAAGCGUGGGGAGCAAACAGGAUUAGAAACCCGGGUAGUCC